UCAAAAUAUUUGCCCAAUGGAUACAAUCCGCUCAUGGUAAGACUUCAUAUGGGUUCGAUGUACUCUUAUCUUCAACGAAUGGUCCAGCAUUCAAUGAUGAUCAAAUACAAAGUUA